rnacentral:tRNA from 1 species
GGGGAUGUAGCUCAGAGGUAGAGUAUUUAACUGCAGAUCAAGAGAUCCCUGGUUCAAAUCCAGGUAUGCCUU